CUACGGGAGGCACCAGUGGGGAAUAUUGGACAAUGGGGGAAACCCUGAUCCAGCAAUGCCGCGUGUGUGAAGAAGGCCUGCGGGUUGUAAAGCACUUUCGGUUGGGAGGACUGCUUCUAGCACUAAUAUUGUUGGAAGUUGACGUUACCUUCAGAAGAAGCACCGGCUAACUCCGUGCCAGCAGCCGCGGUAUACGGAGGGUGCAAGCGUUAAUCGGAAUUACUGGGCGUAAAGCGCGCGUAGGCGGCUAGAUCAGUCGGGUGUGAAAGCCCCGGGCUUAACCUGGGAACUGCAUCCGAUACUGUGUAGCUUGAGUACAGGAGAGGAGAGUGGAAUUCCACAUGUAGCGGUGACAUGCGUAGAUAUGUGGAGGAACACCAAUGGCGAAGGCAGCUCUCUGGCCUGAUACUGACGCUGAGGUGCGAAAGCGUGGGGAGCAAACAGGAUUAGAUACCCCUGUAGUC
rnacentral:rRNA from 1 species